UAGAGGAAGUAAAAUUGGUACCAAGGUUUCGGUAGGGGACCUUGGGGAAGGUUCAUUAUGGAUUAAAGUUGGGUUAGGUGGUCGCGGGUUUUCGGGGCCAGGGCCACCCCGGACGCCAUUUUUUUCACCACCUGUGCACAUUUUGUAGGCUUGGAUAAAUAUGUCUCGAGGAAGCUCGGUUUGAGGACUGCCGUGCUGCAAAAGCCAGGCUUUCCUUGUAUUUUUCCAGCCUAUGCAUUUUAUUAUACACUCGGUAUGUCAUGGAAUGUUAUUUGGUUGGCUUAAUUGCCAGUAAACCUUAUACAACUUUCAACAACGGAUCUCUUGGCUCUCGCAUCGAUGAAGAACGCAGCGAAAUGCGAUAAGUAAUGUGAAUUGCAGAAUUCAGUGAAUCAUCGAAUCUUUGAACGCACCUUGCGCUCCUUGGUAUUCCGAGGAGCAUGCCUGUUUGAGUGUCAUGAAAUUCUCAACCUUUUCAGCUUUUUGUUGAAUAGGCUUGGAUUUUGGGAGUUGUUGCAGGCUGCUCAGAAGUCUGCUCUCCUUAAAUGUAUUAGCGGGGCCCUUGUUGUCUAGCAUUUGGUGUGAUAAUUAUCUACGCCAUUGUGAACAAUGUAAUAGGUCGGCUUCUAAUCGUCUCGUAAAGAGACAAUCUCUGACAUUUGACCUCAAAUCAGUAG
rnacentral:rRNA from 1 species